GACGGAGGAUGCAAGUGUUAUCCGGAAUCACUGGGCGUAAAGCGUCUGUAGGUUGUUUAAAAAGUCUGCAGUUAAAGGUUGAAAGCUUAACUUCAAAAAUGCCGUAGAAACUUUUAAACUAGAGGAUGGUAGGGGUAGAGGGAAUUUCCAGUGGAGCGGUGAAAUGUGUAGAUAUUGGAAAGACCACCGAUGGCGAAGGCACUCUACUGGGCCAUGACUGACACUGAGAGACGAAAGCUAGGGGAGCAAAUGGG
rnacentral:rRNA from 1 species